GGGUGCAAUCAUACCAGCACUAAUGCACCGGAUCCCAUCAGAACUCCGCAGUUAAGCGUGCUUGGGGGAGAAUAGUUCUAAGAUGGGCUUGUCUCAUGACUUUCA
rnacentral:rRNA from 1 species